rnacentral:rRNA from 1 species
GCAGUCGAGCGGACGAUGGGAGCUUGCUCCCUGAUGUUAGCGGCGGACGGCCCUCCAAACGUGGGUAACCUGCCUGUAAGACUGGGAUAACUCCCUAUAACCGGGGCUAAUACCGGAUGCUUGUUUGAACCGCAUGGUUCAAACAUAAAAGGUGGCUUCGGCUACCACUUACAGAUGGACCCGCGGCGCAUUAGCUAGUUGGUGAGGUAAUGGCUCACCAAGGCAACGAUGCGUAGCCGACCUGAGAGGGUGAUCGGCCACACUGGGACUGAGACACGGCCCAGACUCCUACGGGAGGCAGCAGUAGGGAAUCUUCCGCAAUGGACGAAAGUCUGACGGAGCAACGCCGCGUGAGUGAUGAAGGUUUUCGGAUCGUAAAGCUCUGUUGUUAGGGAAGAACAAGUACCGUUCGAAUAGGGCGGUACCUUGACGGUACCUAACCAGAAAGCCACGGCUAACUACGUGCCAGCAGCCGCGGUAAUACGUAGGUGGCAAGCGUUGUCCGGAAUUAUUGGGCGUAAAGGGCUCGCAGGCGGUUUCUUAAGUCUGAUGUGAAAGCCCCCGGCUCAACCGGGGAGGGUCAUUGGAAACUGGGGAACUUGAGUGCAGAAGAGGAGAGUGGAAUUCCACGUGUAGCGGUGAAAUGCGUAGAGAUGUGGAGGAACACCAGUGGCGAAGGCGACUCUCUGGUCUGUAACUGACGCUGAGGAGCGAAAGCGUGGGGAGCGAACAGGAUUAGAUACCCUGGUAGUCCACGCCGUAAACGAUGAGUGCUA